UUCGGGGUUAGUGGCGGACGGGUGAGUAACACGUGGGAACGUGCCUUUUGGUUCGGAAUAGCUCCUGGAAACGGGUGGUAAUGCCGAAUGUGCCCUUCGGGGGAAAGAUUUAUCGCCAUUAGAGCGGCCCGCGUCUGAUUAGCUAGUUGGUGAGGUAAAGGCUCACCAAGGCUACGAUCAGUAGCUGGUCUGAGAGGAUGACCAGCCACAUUGGGACUGAGACACGGCCCAAACUCCUACGGGAGGCAGCAGUGGGGAAUCUUGCGCAAUGGGCGAAAGCCUGACGCAGCCAUGCCGCGUGAAUGAUGAAGGUCUUAGGAUUGUAAAAUUCUUUCACCGGGGACGAUAAUGACGGUACCCGGAGAAGAAGCCCCGGCUAACUUCGUGCCAGCAGCCGCGGUAAUACGAAGGGGGCUAGCGUUGCUCGGAAUUACUGGGCGUAAAGGGAGCGUAGGCGGACAUUUAAGUCAGGGGUGAAAUCCCAGAGCUCAACUCUGGAACUGCCUUUGAUACUGGAUGUCUUGAGUGUGAGAGAGGUAUGUGGAACUCCGAGUGUAGAGGUGAAAUUCGUAGAUAUUCGGAAGAACACCAGUGGCGAAGGCGACAUACUGGCUCAUUACUGACGCUGAGGCUCGAAAGCGUGGGGAGCAAACAGGAUUAGAUACCCUGGUAGUCCACGCCGU
rnacentral:rRNA from 3 species